rnacentral:rRNA from 1 species
AGGAUUAACGCUGGCGGCGUGCCUAACACAUGCAAGUCGAACGAGGUAGCAAUACCUAGUGGCAGACGGGUGAGUAACGCGUGGUCAACCUACCGUUGAGUGGGGGAUAACUAGCCGAAAGGUUAGCUAAUACCGCAUACGUCUCCGAGGGGCAUCCCUUGGCGAUAAAAGGAGCAAUCCGCUCGAUGACGGGACCGCGUCCCAUUAGCUAGAUGGUGGGGUAACGGCCCACCAUGGCACCGAUGGGUAGCUGGUUUGAGAGAGCGACCAGCCACACUGGGACUGAGAAACGGCCCAGACUCCUACGGGAGGCAGCAGUGAGGAAUUUUCCGCAAUGGGCGCAAGCCUGACGGAGCGACGCCGCGUGUGGGAAGAAGGCCUUCGGGUCGUAAACCACUGUCGAAGGGGACGAUAAUGACGGUACCCUUGGAGGAAGCCCCGGCUAACUACGCGCCAGCAGCCGC